UGGGGAAUAUUGCACAAUGGGCGCAAGCCUGAUGCAGCGACGCCGCGUGAAGGAUGAAGGUCUUCGGAUUGUAAACUUCUAUCAGCAAGGAAGAAGUAUGACGGUACUUGACUAAGAAGCCCCGGCUAACUACGUGCCAGCAGCCGCGGUAAUACGUAGGGGGCGAGCGUUAUCCGGAAUUACUGGGUGUAAAGGGUGCGUAGGCGGCAUGGUAAGUCAGAUGUGAAAACUUGGAGCUCAACUUCAAGAUUGCAUCUGAAACUGCUAAGCUAGAGUGCAGGAGAGGAAAGUGGAAUUCCGAGUGUAGCGGUGAAAUGCGUAGAGAUUCGGAGGAACACCAGUAGCGAAGGCGACUUUCUGGACUGUAACUGACGCUGAGGCACGAAAGCGUGGGGAGCGA
rnacentral:rRNA from 1 species